UACGUAGGGUGCAAGCGUUGUCCGGAAUUACUGGGCGUAAAGAGCUCGUAGGUGGUUUGUCGCGUUGUCCGUGAAAACUCACAGCUCAACUGUGGGCGUGCGGGCGAUACGGGCAGACGUGGAGUACUGCAGGGGAGACUGGAAUUCCUGGUGUAGCGGUGGAAUGACGCAGAUAUCAGGAGGGAACACCGGUGGCGAAGGCGGGUCUCUGGGCAGUAACUGACGCUGGAGGAGCGAAAGCGUGGGGAGCGAACAGG
rnacentral:rRNA from 1 species